GCCGCGGUCGCAUAACCUGGUAUUGCGCUGGUCUUGAAAACCAGUUUCCUUUUGGAUAUGCAGGUUCAAAUCCUGCCCGCGGCG
rnacentral:tRNA from 2 species